CCAUUCAGCAAAUACUGAAAUCACGCUAUUGAGAUUUAAAUUCACAUGUAAACAUUUUCCAAUACUAAUUUCAUAAAUUAUUAUUAAAUUUCAUAAAAAUGGAGUGUGUUUUUUUUCCUGAUUCUCUUAGGAGGGUAAUGUAAGGAUUAUGUUGUGUUUUUAUCUAUUCUUGUGUUUUUAUCUAUUCUUAUGAAAUGUUUAUAUAAUGAAUUUGGUUGAGAUAGUUUAUUUGUAAUUUAGAAAGUGAAAGGAAAAUGAAAUUGCAGCCCGAGUGCAUCAGUUCCAAUUAUGUUUAUUAGUUUGCAUUCACGGUUCAUUGAUAGUGUGAUUAUACUCUGAGCAGUGCAUAGCAAUCCUGAUGCAGGGGCAGAAUGAAGAGCAGUGAAGUGUGUGGCUGGGCUGAUGACAUGAAAGUAAGUAAUGAAUUCGGAAGCUGCCUU
rnacentral:lncRNA from 1 species